GACAGAGGGGGCAAGCGUUGCUCGGAAUCACUGGGCGUAAAGGGCGCGUAGGCGGGAUGGCAAGUCAGUCGUGAAAUCUCUCGGCUCAACCGAGAAACGUCGGCUGAUACUGCCGUUCUUGAGGGAUGCAGAGGAGACUGGAAUUCCCGGUGUAGCGGUGAAAUGUGUAGAGAUCGGGAGGAACACCGGUGGCGAAGGCGGGCCUCUGGGCAUUUCCUGACGCUGAGGCGCGAAAGCGUGGGGAGCAAACGGG
rnacentral:rRNA from 1 species